UACGUAGGGUGCAAGCGUUGUCCGGAAUUAUUGGGCGUAAAGAGCUCGUAGGCGGUUUGUCGCGUCGAAUGUGAAAUCCCGGGGCUCAACCCCGGGUCUGCAUUCGAUACGGGCAGACUAGAGUUCGGUAGGGGAGUCUGGAAUUCCUGGUGUAGCGGUGAAAUGCGCAGAUAUCAGGAGGAACACCGGUGGCGAAGGCGGAUCUCUGGGCCUUGCCUGACGCUGAGGCGCGAAAGCUAGGGGGAGCGAACAGG
rnacentral:rRNA from 1 species